CGGGGCGGGCCGACCGGUCUGCCGAUGGGUAUGCACUGGCCGGCGCGUCCUUCCACCCGGAGACCGCGCCUACUCUUAACUGAGCGGGCGCGGGAGACGGGUCUUUUACUUUGAAAAAAUCAGAGUGUUUCAAGCAGGCAGUCGCUCUUGCAUGGAUUAGCAUGGGAUAAUGAAAUAGGACUCUGGUGCUAUUUUGUUGGUUUCGAACACCGGAGUAAUGAUUAACAGGGACAGUCAGGGGCACUCGUAUUCCGCCGAGAGAGGUGAAAUUCUCAGACCAGCGGAAGACGAACCACUGCGAAAGCAUUUGCCAGGGAUGUUUUCACUGAUCAAGAACGAAAGUUAGGGGAUCGAAGACGAUCAGAUACCGUCGUAGUCUUAACCAUAAACCAUGCCGACUAGGGAUUGGAGGAUGUUCCAUUUGUGACUCCUUCAGCACCUUUCGGGAAACUAAAGUCUUUGGGUUCCGGGGGGAGUAUGGUCGCAAGGCUGAAACUUAAAGGAAUUGACGGAAGGGCACCACCAGGAGUGGAGCCUGCGGCUUAAUUUGACUCAACACGGGGAAACUUACCAGGUCCAGACAUUGUGAGGAUUGACAGAUUGAGAGCUCUUUCUUGAUUCGAUGGGUGGUGGUGCAUGGCCGUUCUUAGUUGGUGGAGUGAUUUGUCUGGUUAAUUCCGUUAACGAACGAGACCGCAGCCUGCUAAAUAGCGACGCG
rnacentral:rRNA from 1 species